CACAACUAGGAUGUAUAUUACCCUACCCGUGGCCGAAUACAUGAGUUCAUACCGUCAUUACUUUGUUCGCAUGAGCUUUGGAAGGAAGUUAAAAUGGUGUUGCGCAUUAUUCUUGUGGUGUUAUUUGUAAUGUUCAGAGCUGAUGCUUCCUGUGUUAAUCAAUAUGCUGAGAUCGGGGAUCAUAAUGUGCAGCUGGUGUUCAGUUUCACUUGGAAUACGACAGAGUAUAUACAAGUAGUGUGUUACAAAGGACAAAUUCGUCUCGGAGAAUGCAUAAGGGUAGUUACUGCCACAUGUGCAGUCUCUGCAACAACUGUUAGGGUCUACACAAUUUCUUCAAGUGACGCCCUCACGUCUAUAUACAUCACAAUUGAUUUUUUUAAUGACACAACUGCAGGAGAAUAUUACUGUUCGACACAUGACCGCAUUCAACAUCAGGCGAUAUGCAUUUACAGCAAAGUAAAUCUUACUUCAUUAACUCUGCUUCCGAAUACCAACAUAUCAUACCCAGUACACAAUGGCCAAUCAACGUUCACGUGCAUCACAUCACCAAGUAGACCUGUCUCAAGGAUUCAUUGGUUUGUAGAAGGUCGGAACAUUACUGACAUGGCCAGCUAUGCUUACAGCUCUGAUAUUGCAACAAGCAAUCUUAGAUAUACGUCUCAAUCAUACAACAAUAUGAAUUUAAUCUGUACAGCAAACUACGUGUUUAAAUCAACGAACAUAACAUUGCAAAGAGGAACGAGGAUGAUCGUGCAAUGUAAGUUUUACCAAUCCUAUUUUCAUAUAAACCCAUAAUCAACUGAUUAUUAUGUCUUUGCAUCACACUGUAUCCAUUUUA